GACGAAGGGGGCUAGCGUUGUUCGGAAUUACUGGGCGUAAAGCGAGUGUAGGUGGUUGUCGUAGUCAGGUGUGAAAGCCUUGAGCUCAACUCAAGAAUUGCGCUCGAUACUGGGUGACUAGAGGACCGGAGAGGAUAGUGGAAUUCCCAGUGUAGUGGUGAAAUACGUAGAGAUUGGGAAGAACACCAGUGGCGAAGGCGGCUAUCUGGACGGUUUCUGACGCUAAGACGCGAAAGCGUGGGGAGCAAACAGG
rnacentral:rRNA from 1 species